AGUGGCUCUGUGGUUAAGUGUUUGGCUGCUAACCAAAAGGCUGGCAGUUCAAAUCUACCAACCACUC
rnacentral:tRNA from 1 species